CAGCUUGAAGACAGCCACUUCUCUGUGAAAUUGAAGAUCUGGAGUCAGACAGAAUCACCGGAGAAUUUCACUUAAUAAAAAAGCUUACAAGCUUUGGGCAUGAUCCCGCUCCCAUUGGACUCAAGAGCAGAGCUACAGCUGAUUACAAAAGGAAUCAAAUAAUGAGGCAAAGGCAUCAUCGGCGGCUGCAGCACUGACAAUAUACUUGGAGCUUACGUGGCACAAAAUGAAGGUCGCUCCUGCCCCCGUCUCACAUUUACAAACAGAGAAGAUGGACAUUGGGAAGACCAGCGGCAGGAGGAACUUGGAGUGAUGGAUUCUGUGUGAUUUGUUUCCAUGUCUUUUGGACAUCAAGGCAGAAGUGAGUCCAUAGACAGUGGCCUGGAGGCUCCAGGGAUGCUAAUGCAGCACUUUUCACCAACACUCAAUAUUAAAAUCAUUAUUAGGUAUCCAUGAAUCGGCAGGAAGCAACAACAAAUGAGUGCAAUGGAAGGGUAUCGAAACAUACCAGACUUUGGGGGUUCAUUCGGUAUGUCCACUUCUAAUCAUAGAAAGGAAAUAAAGUCCAAUGAUUUUCAU